GGCAGUUAGCUCAGUUGGUCAGAGCAUGGUGCUGGUAACACCAAAGUGUUGGGUACAACUCCUGUAAGGGCCA